rnacentral:precursor_RNA from 1 species
CGUCGCUUCUCCGCGCUCGGAGAUCUGAUGACGGU